AAAUCAAACUAGAUCAACGAGAUGGCAGUAUAGAUAGAUAUAAUU
rnacentral:guide_RNA from 1 species